rnacentral:snoRNA from 12 species
CUGCAGCCAAUUAAGCCGACUGAGUUCCUUUCCUCAUGGGGGCCCAGUGUGCAAUGGCUGCACACAGCAGCUUCCUUGGUAGUGUACGCAGCCUGUUGGUUGUAUGGGUUGCUCUAAGGGACCUUGGAGACAGGC